AUUGAACGCUGGCGGCAUGCCUUACACAUGCAAGUCGAACGGCAGCAUGGAGAGCUUGCUCUCUGAUGGCGAGUGGCGAACGGGUGAGUAAAGCAUCGGAACGUACCGUGUAGUGGGGGAUAACGUAGCGAAAGUUACGCUAAUACCGCAUACGCACUGAGGUGGAAAGCAGGGGAUCGUAAGACCUUGCGCUAUACGAGCGGCCGAUGUCAGAUUAGCUAGUUGGUAGGGUAAAGGCCUACCAAGGCGACGAUCUGUAGCGGGUCUGAGAGGAUGAUCCGCCACACUGGGACUGAGACACGGCCCAGACUCCUCCGGGAGGCAGCAGUGGGGAAUUUUGGACAAGGGUGGCAACCCUGAUCCAGCCAUGCCGCGUGAGUGAAGAAGGCCUUCGGGUUGUAAAGCUCUUUCGGCCGGGAAGAAAUCGCACAGGCUAAUACCCUGUGUGGAUGACGGUACCGGCAUAAGAAGCACCGGCUAACUACGUGCCAGCCGCCGCAGUAA
rnacentral:rRNA from 1 species